UACGGGGGGGGCAAGCGUUGUUCGGAAUUACUGGGCGUAAAGGGCUCGUAGGUGGCCAACUAAGUCAGACGUGAAAUCCCUCGGCUUAACCGGGGAACGGCGUCUGAUACUGGAUGGCUUGAGUUCGGGAGAGGGAUGCGGAAUUCCAGGUGUAGCGGUGAAAUGCGUAGAUAUCUGGAGGAACACCGGUGGCGAAGGCGGCAUCCUGGACCGAUACUGACACUGAGGAGCGAAAGCCAGGGGAGCAAACGGG
rnacentral:rRNA from 1 species